rnacentral:rRNA from 1 species
AGUUUGAUCCUGGCUCAGGAUGAACGCUGGCGGCGUGCCUAACACAUGCAAGUCGAGCGAUUCUCUUCGGAGAAGAGCGGCGGACGGGUGAGUAACGCGUGGGUAACCUGCCCUGUACACACGGAUAACAUACCGAAAGGUAUGCUAAUACGAGAUAAUAUGCUUUUAUCGCAUGGUAGAAGUAUCAAAGCUUUUGCGGUACAGGAUGGACCCGCGUCUGAUUAGCUAGUUGGUAAGGUAACGGCUUACCAAGGCGACGAUCAGUAGCCGACCUGAGAGGGUGAUCGGCCACAUUGGAACUGAGACACGGUCCAAACUCCUACGGGAGGCAGCAGUGGGGAAUAUUGCACAAUGGGCGAAAGCCUGAUGCAGCAACGCCGCGUGAGCGAUGAAGGCCUUCGGGUCGUAAAGCUCUGUCCUCAAGGAAGAUAAUGACGGUACUUGAGGAGGAAGCCCCGGCUAACUACGUGCCAGCAGCCGCGGUAAUACGUAGGGGGCUAGCGUUAUCCGGAAUUACUGGGCGUAAAGGGUGCGUAGGUGGUUUCUUAAGUCAGAGGUGAAAGGCUACGGCUCAACCGUAGUAAGCCUUUGAAACUGGGAAACUUGAGUGCAGGAGAGGAGAGUGGAAUUCCUAGUGUAGCGGUGAAAUGCGUAGAUAUUAGGAGGAACACCAGUUGCGAAGGCGGCUCUCUGGACUGUAACUGACACUGAGGCACGAAAGCGUGGGGAGCAAACAGGAUUAGAUACCCUGGUAGUCCACGCCGUAAACGAUGAGUACUAGCUGUCGGAGGUUACCCCCUUCGGUGGCGCAGCUAACGCAUUAAGUACUCCGCCUGGGAAGUACGCUCGCAAGAGUGAAACUCAAAGGAAUUGACG